CGGCAACAGCUCAAAUUUGAAAUCUGGCCCUCGUGGUCCGAGUUGUAAUUUGUAGAGGAUGCUUUUGGUGCGGUGCCUUCCGAGUUCCCUGGAACGGGACGCCAUAGAGGGUGAGAGCCCCGUCUGGUUGGACACCAAUCCUCUGUAAAGCUCCUUCGACGAGUCGAGUAGUUUGGGAAUGCUGCUCUAAAUGGGAGGUAUAUGUCUUCUAAAGCUAAAUAUUGGCCAGAGACCGAUAGCGCACAAGUAGAGUGAUCGAAAGAUGAAAAGCACUUUGAAAAGAGGGUUAAAUAGUACGUGAAAUUGUUGAAAGGGAAGCGUUUGUGACCAGACUUGGGCUUGGUCAAUCAUCCGGCGUUCUCGCCGGUGCACUUCUCCAGCCCAGGCCAGCAUCAGUUCGCCGCGGGGGAUAAAAGUCUCGGGAAUGUGGCUCCUCGGAGUGUUAUAGCCCGUUGCACAAUACCCUGUGGUGGACUGAGGUUCGCGCAUCUGCAAGGAUGCUGGCGUAAUGGUCAUCAACGACCCGUCUUGAAACACGGACCAAGGAGUCGUCUUCGUAUGCGAGUGUUCGGGUGUCAAACCCCUACGCGUAAUGAAAGUGAACGGAGGUGGGAGCCUCGGCGCACCAUCGACCGAUCCUGAUGUUUUCGGAUGGAUUUGAGUAAGAGCAUACGGGGCCGGACCCGAAAGAAGGUGAACUAUGCCUGUAUAGGGUGAAGCCAGAGGAAACUCUGGUGGAGGCUCGCAGCGGUUCUGACGUGCAAAUCGAUCGUCAAAUAUGGGCAUGGGGGCGAA
rnacentral:rRNA from 1 species